rnacentral:misc_RNA from 1 species
GAUGAAGAACGUAGUGAAAUGCGAUAAGUAAUGCGAAUUGCAGAAUUUCCGUGAGUCAUCGAAUCUUUGAACGCACAUUGCGCCCACCGGUAUUCCGGUGGGCAUGCCUGUUCGAGCGUCAUUAUCCUCCCUCAAACCCCGGGUUUGGUGUUGGACCUCAAGUUGUGCGAACAACUGGUCUUAAAGACAAUGACGGCGUCCGGAGGACCCUCGGUGCAACGAGCUUUCAGGAGCACGCGUCGAGUUUCAAGGACCUUCCGGCCCGGUCUCUUUACUCCUUUCACAAGGUUGACCUCGGAUCAGGUAGGAAUACCCGCUGAACUUAAGCAUAUCAAUAAGCGGAGGA